AUUAUGUUUUCUGUGUAAUUGCAGCUAUGUAUACUAUAGAGUUUCAAAAAAGAGGACUCCCUCAUGCUCAUAUACUAAUUUGGCUGGAUUCAAAGUGUAAGUUGACCAAAGUAGAGCACAUUGAUAAAGUUAUAUCAGCAGAGAUUCCUGACAAAUUGAAAGACCCUAAGCUAUUUGAAGUGAUAAAGGAAAGAAUGGUUGAUAAUAGGUUUUUUAUUGGUCAAUUAUCCUAAAACACCAAUCAUGUCGUUGUAGUAUUUUAGGUGUCAAUCCAAAUGGGUGUGAUGCAAACAGAUGAAAUGUGAUCAGAAGUCACUAAGUCAAGCCAAGCAAUAACAGUUUUGGGGUUUCUAACAGUUCUAAGCGAACAUGCAGAAAACAGAAGCAAUAACAUAAUUACUAAAAUCACUCGACCACAACAGGCUGAUGCCAGAAGUAGGAUGUGGUCGAGUAACAGGUCGAGUAACAGACAGGAUAUGAAACAGCUAUACUCGACUGCACAGUCUGUUGCCAGACACUGGGUGUGGUCGAGUAUACUGGUCGAGUAACAGACAGGAAACAAGACAAUCUUACUCGACUGCACAGUCUGUUGCCAGACACUGGGUGUGGUCGAGUAAGAUGGUCGAGUGAUUGUAAAAACUAAGAAAUAGGCAAUGAGAACGAUUAAGCGAUAACGAUAAAACAGAGAAAUAAGAUAGACGAGAAAUUCCUAAGGAUGGGGUAAUUGAGUAGAGUGGUAUCCUAGCCUAUUCGAAUGGUUAACAAGCGCAAUCAAGCUAUCCCUAGACAACAGGUUCAACAACAGAUCAAUUCACUCCCGUGAUAGAAAUCGUCAAGCAAAGCUAGCCCAGACUAAUUCCCAUUAACGGAAUCUAACUAUGCAGGCAAUAAGAACAGACUGAUAAAGUCAAUAAACGCUCUAAACGGCCAAUCCCUUGGGAUAGAGACGCAUAUCUCAGGAACUAGUGGAUCAAGCAUUCCAUCGAACACCUUCUGGGUGCGGGAAUGCUUGGGAUCGAAUUCCAAUUGAUCAGAAAGAAAUAAGCAGUAAACGCAACUAGUCCUAAAGGGAUUCAAUCAAUUCUAAAACUUAACCAUUCUACAGACUACGGAUUCCACAACUACUCUAUCCCAUCCCUAAGAAUUCUAAGUCACUACUCAGACAACAUGCUCAAAGACAUAAACGCAGAUAAACGAUAAUAUUGCAUAAGUAAAGAGAUAAAGAGUAGAGAAACAAGAUGACAGAUGAAAUCAAAUGCGGAAUCUCGAAUUACAGGUUGAAGAAGCAAAAGCGGCGCAGUAGAGUAAAAUAGAAAAUAAAACUGAUGCAAAAAGUCAAUGUCGACUAGAUGUCUCAGGACAGAACCCUAAGACAUCUAUUUAUACAAAACGAAAUAAAAUGAUAGUAGACGGGCCAAUAACCUAAUCGCUCGGCCCACAGAGAGAUAAUGGGCCGUGAUGGGCUUCGUGAUUUGAUGGAGAUCCAGGCCGCUUCCAAACACUUUGUCUUCUCCUCUUCUCUUCCUUGUGCUCAGCUUGUCUGGUUGAGUGCGGAUUUGAGUAGACUGUGAAGACAUGAUCGAGUGUCCGGUCGAGUGAUGCUGAUGGUGGUGAGUGAUGAUACUCGGCCAGGGGGUCGAGUAACUUGGUAGAGUGAAUGGUCGAGUGAUGGUGAUGGUGUGGCGAAGUGAUACUCGACCGUGGGGUCGAGUGGUGUGGUAGAGUGAACGGUCGAGUGUUGUCAGGUGGUGUGGCAAAGUGAUACUCGACCAGGGGGUCGAGUAGUGUCAUCGAGUGGCCUGAGCUGAGGUUACUCGACCUGGUGGUCGAGUGGAUGGGAAGAAUGGCUCCAAAGUCACUCGACCUGGGGGUCGAGUAUGUGGGAAGAAUGGCUCCAAAGUCACUCGACCUGGGGGUCGAGUAUGUCUUCUAGUUCUGGCACGUUUCUUCCAAUUUGCUUGCAAACAGCUCCAAAUCACCUGAAAACAACUUAGAAAUGCAAUAUGUAUGCAAAGCUAUCCUAAUCAUGCAAAGUAUGCAAGAAUGAUGAGAAAUGAUAUAAAACAGUGAUGAAUGAUACGAAACUGGACUCAAAACGAUGAUGAAUGGACACUGAAAACAUGCAAAUUAUAGACAUAUCAAUGGUUCAUGGUCCUUGUGGUGUGGUGAACCCGAAAUGUCCAUGUAUGGAAAACGGAAAGUGUUCAAAGUUUUAUCCGAAAAAUCAUGUUC
rnacentral:sRNA from 1 species